UACGUAGGGUGCAAGCGUUGUCCGGAAUUAUUGGGCGUAAAGAGCUCGUAGGCGGUUUGUCGCGUCGGCUGUGAAAACCUGGGGCUCAACCUCGGGCCUGCAGUGGGUACGGGCAGACUAGAGUGCGGUAGGGGAGAUUGGAAUUCCUGGUGUAGCGGUGGAAUGCGCAGAUAUCAGGAGGAACACCAAUGGCGAAGGCAGAUCUCUGGGCCGUAACUGACGCUGAGGAGCGAAAGCAUGGGGAGCGAACAGG
rnacentral:rRNA from 1 species